rnacentral:tRNA from 1 species
GGAGAGAUGGCCGAGAGGUUGAAGGCGCUCGCCUCGAAAGCGAGUGGGCGGUAACCCGUCUCGUGAGUUCGAAUCUCACUCUCUCCGCCA